UACGGAGGGAGCUAGCGUUGUUCGGAAUUACUGGGCGUAAAGCGCACGUAGGCGGCUUUUUAAGUCAGGGGUGAAAUCCCGGGGCUCAACCCCGGAACUGCCCUUGAAACUGGAGAGCUAGAAUCUUGGAGAGGCGAGUGGAAUUCCGGGUGUAGCGGUGGAAUGCGUAGAGAUCCGGAGGAACACCAGCGGCGAAGGCGGCAUCCUGGACUGGUACUGACGCUCAUGAGCGAAAGCGUGGGGAGCGAUCCGG
rnacentral:rRNA from 1 species